rnacentral:rRNA from 1 species
GCUGACACGUAGGUGAAGUGAUUUACUCAUGGAGCUGAAGUCAGUCGAAGAUACCAGCUGGCUGCAACUGUUUAUUAAAAACACAGCACUGUGCAAACACGAAAGUGGACGUAUACGGUGUGACGCCUGCCCGGUGCCGGAAGGUUAAUUGAUGGGGUCAGCGCAAGCGAAGCUCCUGAUCGAAGCCCCGGUAAACGGCGGCCGUAACUAUAACGGUCCUAAGGUAGCGAAAUUCCUUGUCGGGUAAGUUCCGACCUGCACGAAUGGCGUAAUGAUGGCCAGGCUGUCUCCACCCGAGACUCAGUGAAAUUGAACUCGCUGUGAAGAUGCAGUGUACCCGCGGCAAGACGGAAAGACCCCGUGAACCUUUACUAUAGCUUGACACUGAACAUUGAGCCUUGAUGUGUAGGAUAGGUGGGAGGCUUUGAAGUGUGGACGCCAGUCUGCAUGGAGCCGGCCUUGAAAUACCACCCUUUAAUGUUUGAUGUUCUAACGUGGACCCGUGAUCCGGGUUGCGGACAGUGUCUGGUGGGUAGUUUGACUGGGGCGGUCUCCUCCUAAAGAGUAACGGAGGAGCACGAAGGUUGGCUAAUCCUGGUCGGACAUCAGGAGGUUAGUGCAAUGGCAUAAGCCAGCUUGACUGCGAGCGUGACGGCGCGAGCAGGUGCGAAAGCAGGUCAUAGUGAUCCGGUGGUUCUGAAUGGAAGGGCCAUCGCUCAACGGAUAAAAGGUACUCCGGGGAUAACAGGCUGAUACCGCCCAAGAGUUCAUAUCGACGGCGGUGUUUGGCACCUCGAUGUCGGCUCAUCACAUCCUGGGGCUGAAGUAGGUCCCAAGGGUAUGGCUGUUCGCCAUUUAAAGUGGUACGCGAGCUGGGUUUAGAACGUCGUGAGACAGUUCGGUCCCUAUCUGCCGUGGGCGCUGGAGAACUGAGGGGGGCUGCUCCUAGUACGAGAGGACCGGAGUGGACGCAUCACUGGUGUUCGGGUUGUCAUGCCAAUGGCACUGCCCGGUAGCUAAAUGCGGAAGAGAUAAGUGCUGAAAGCAUCUAAGCACGAAACUUGCCCCGAGAUGAGUUCUCCCUGAGACUUUAGGUCUCCUGAAGGAACGUUGAAGACGACGACGUUGAUAGGCCGGGUGUGUAAGCGCAGCGAUGCGUUGAGCUAACCGGUACUAAUGAACCGUGAGGCUUAACCUU